UCAAAAUUCCAGUAGAUUCUU
rnacentral:piRNA from 1 species